GUGGCUAUGGGGCUCUGGAAAGCUGUGGGGGACUGUAGAAGGGGUAUUGGGGUAUAUGGGAAAAGAGGGGGCUGUGGUUGGGAUCUAGGGAUCUGUGGGCAGCUAUUGGGGGAUAUGGGGCUCUAGGGUGCUGCAGGGUCUUUACAGAGUGUUUUAGAGCUAUAUGGGAGAUAUAGGGGGACUUGGUUCUCUAGGGGGCGGUGGGGGUAUAGGGGUGAUAUGGGUCUGUAGGGGGCUUUGGGAGGAGCUCCACGGUUCUAUGACGGGGCUGUAAGGGCUAUAGGUGUGUUCGAGGGGGAUAUGUGGCUCUGGGGGUUUGUGGCAACGUGGGAACAUUGAGGGUGCUAGGGGUUGGGGGGGGCUCUAGGGAAGGAUGUUGUGCUGUAGGAGAUUGUGGGGGCCUGAGGGAGGAUAUAGGGCGUCUGUGGGGAUAUAGAGGAGAUAUGGAGUCUAGAAGGGUUCUAUGGGGAUAUGAGGUUGGAUAUGGGAGACUGGGGGGUCUCUGUAGGGGGUCUAGGGUCAGUGUGGGUCUGUGUGGAGAUGUAAGGGGAGAUAAGGUUUUAGGGGGCUGGGGGACUGUAGAGAGGGCUUUAGGG
ensembl:lncRNA